CCUACGGGAGGCAGCAGUAGGGAAUUUUGCACAAUGGGCGAAAGCCUGACGCAGCAACGCCGCGUGAUGGAGACAGCCUUCGGGGUGGAAAACUCUUUCAGUGAGGGCGAAACUUGACGGUACCCACAGAAGAAGCACCGGCUAACUCCGUGCCAGCAGCCGCGGUAAUACGGGGGGUGCGAGCGUUGUCCGGAAUCAUUGGGAGUAAAGAGUUCUGUGGCGGAACGUAAAAGCUGGUUGUAAAGGCAGGGGCUCAACUUAUGUACGGUAAUGGAUACUUGCGAGCUAGAAUGCGGUAGGGGUAAAGGGAAGUUCUGGUGUAGGGGUGAAAUGCGUAGAUAUGAGGAGGAACACCGGUGGCGUAAGCGCUUUACUGGGCCGUAAUUGACGCUGAGGAACGAAAGCGAGGGGAGCAAAUGGGAUUAGAUACCCGGGUAGUC
rnacentral:rRNA from 1 species